AGACCGCCUGGGGAGUACGGCCGCAAGGUUAAAACUCAAAUGAAUUGACGGGGGCCCGCACAAGCGGUGGAGCAUGUGGUUUAAUUCGAUGCAACGCGAAGAACCUUACCUGGUCUUGACAUCCACAGAACUUUCCAGAGAUGGAUUGGUGCCUUCGGGAACUGUGAGACAGGUGCUGCAUGGCUGUCGUCAGCUCGUGUUGUGAAAUGUUGGGUUAAGUCCCGCAACGAGCGCAACCCUUAUCCUUUGUUGCCAGCGGUUAGGCCGGGAACUCAAAGGAGACUGCCAGUGAUAAACUGGAGGAAGGUGGGGAUGACGUCAAGUCAUCAUGGCCCUUACGACCAGGGCUACACACGUGCUACAAUGGCGCAUACAAAGAGAAGCGACCUCGCGAGAGCAAGCGGACCUCAUAAAGUGCGUCGUAGUCCGGAUUGGAGUCUGCAACUCGACUCCAUGAAGUCGGAAUCGCUAGUAAUCGUGGAUCAGAAUGCCACGGUGAAUACGUUCCCGGGCCUUGUACACACCGCCCGUCACACCAUGGGAGUGGGUUGCAAAAGAAGUAGGUAGCUUAACCUUCGGGAGGGCGCUUACCACUUUGUGAUUCAUGACUGGGGUGAAGUCGUAACAAGGUAACCGUAGGGGAACCUGCGGUUGGAUCACCUCCUUACCUUAAAGAA
rnacentral:rRNA from 1 species